GAUGAACGCUGGCGGCGUGCCUAACACAUGCAAGUCGAACGGACAGGCGCUGCGCUUGCUCCGCUCUCGUUAGCGGAGCGGGUGAGAAACACGCGUGUAUCCCCUCCCUGUAUGACUGGGAACACUUCGAGACACCGGCUCAAAUCCCGUAUAAUAUCUUGCACCGCGGGGUGCAAUGGAAAAAGUCGGUUUUUCGGUCUGUUAUAGAUGCAUCCGCGCCGCAUUAGCUAGUUGGGACGGUAACGGCUUACCAAGGCUAGGAUGCGUAACCGACCGGAGGGGGUGGUCGCCCACACUGGAAGUGAGACACGGACCAGACUCCUGCGGGAGGCAGCAGUAGGGAAUCGUCGGCAGUGGGCGAGAGCCUGACGGAGCGGCGCCGCGUGUGUGACGAAGGUCUUCGGAUCGUAAAACUCUGCUAUUAGGUAUGAACAAAUGUGGAAGGAACUAUGGACGUCGUGACGGUACCUAAUCAGAAAGCCACGGCUAACUACGUG
rnacentral:rRNA from 1 species